GCCGGCAGCAGGCCACCACACUGCUUGAACAGCUACAGGAGGACUACAACAGACUGCUGACUAAGUACGCUGAAGCAGAGAACACCAUUGAUCGUCUGCGGCUGGAAGCUAAGGUGAACCUGUACUCUGAGCCACCAAAGCCCGGCCACUUGGUACAGUCAGGACUGAGCCACAACGUUUCAAAUGUCAUGACCUUGGACUUUGCUCAGGCUCAGAGAGCAGAGAUCAACUCAGCUUCUCCCUCUCCAAACGGACACAGUGCCCAUCAGAUCCUCCAGGUGGGACAACAGCUGGCGAAGACUCUCUACAAUCAGGCUGACAAGUUCCUCCAGCAGAUGCACACUUUUGAGGAUCUCCUAAAGAGAGGAAAACUCAAACCUUUUGAACAGAUGAAGG